GCAAUGCCUCUGGUGGGCCCCUCUCUGCGGGCCUCUCAGAGCAUGCCAGGAAAAUUGCAGCCUCAAACCAUUUCCCAGCCUCCUUACCUGUGGGCUGUGAGCAUUAAACGGGGUUGUACAUUG